rnacentral:rRNA from 1 species
UACGUAGGGGGCAAGCGUUGUCCGGAAUCAUUGGGCGUAAAGGGUGCGUAGGCGGCGCGGUAAGUCGGGUGUGAAAUCUCGGGGCUUAACUCCGAAACUGCAUUCGAUACUGCCGUGCUUGAGGACUGGAGAGGAGACUGGAAUUUACGGUGUAGCGGUGAAAUGCGUAGAUAUCGUAAGGAAGACCAGUGGCGAAGGCG